rnacentral:rRNA from 1 species
AUUGAACGCUGGCGGCAGGCCUAACACAUGCAAGUCGAGCGGAUGAAGGGAGCUUGCUCCUGGAUUCAGCGGCGGACGGGUGAGUAAUGCCUAGGAAUCUGCCUGGUAGUGGGGGAUAACGUCCGGAAACGGGCGCUAAUACCGCAUACGUCCUGCGGGAGAAAGUGGGGGAUCUUCGGACCUCACGCUAUCAGAUGAGCCUAGGUCGGAUUGGCUAGUUGGUGGGGUAAAGGCCUACCAAGGCGAGGAUCGGUAACUGGUCGGAGGGGAUGAUCAGUCACACUGGAACUGAGACACGGUCCAGACUCCUACGGGAGGCAGCAGUGUGGAAUAUUGGACAAUGGGCGAAAGCCUGAUCCAGCCAUGCCGCGUGUGUGAAGAAGGUCUUCGGAUUGUAAAGCACUUUAAGUUGGGAGGAAGGGCAGUAAGUUAAUACCUUGCUGUUUUGACGUUACCAACAGAAUAAGCACCGGCUAACUUCGUG